UACGUAGGGGCUAGCGUUGUCCGGAUUAUUGGGCGUAAAGAGCGUGUAGGCGGCCAGGUAGGUCUGGUGUGAAAACUCGAGGCUUAACCUCGAGAUGUCAUCGGAAACCAUCUGGCUAGAGUCCGGAAGAGGAGAGUGGAAUUCCUGGUGUAGCGGUGAAAUGCGCAGAUAUCAGGAAGAACACCAAUGGCGAAGGCAGCUCUCUGGGACGGUACUGACGCUGAGACGCGAAAGCGUGGGGAGCGAACAGG
rnacentral:rRNA from 1 species